rnacentral:rRNA from 1 species
UACGGAGGGUGCUAGCGUUGUUCGGAAUGACUGGGCGUAAAGGGCGCGUAGGCGGCUCGUGAAGUCGGGUGUGAAAGCCCGGGGCUCAACCCCGGAACGGCAUCCGAUACUGGCGGGCUUGAGACCGGGAGAGGAGGGUGGAAUACCCAGUGUAGAGGUGAAAUUCGUAGAUAUUGGGUGGAACACCGGUGGCGAAGGCGGCAUCCUGGACCAUUACUGACACUGAAUAGCGAAAGCCAGGGGAGCAAACGGG